GCGGGUGUAGCUCAAUGGUCAGAGCACCAGCCUUCCAAGCUGGGGAUGUGGGUUCGAUUCCCAUCACCCGCUCCA
rnacentral:tRNA from 1 species